rnacentral:rRNA from 1 species
AGAGUUUGAUCCUGGCUCAGAACGAACGCUGGCGGCGUGCCUAACACAUGCAAGUCGUACGAGGAAUCCUGGGCAACUGGGAAAGUAAAGUGGCGCACGGGUGAGUAACGCGUGGGUAACCUACCCUUAAAUUGGGGAUAACUCUUCGAAAGGGGAGUUAAUACCGAAUAAUAUUCCAAUUCCUCCGGGAGCUGGAAUCGAAGGUGGCCUCUGCAUGCAAGCUAUCGUUUAAGGAUGGGCCCGCGUACCAUUAGCUAGUUGGUAGGGUAAUAGCCUACCAAGGCAACGAUGGUUAGCUGGUCUGAGAGGAUGGCCAGCCACACUGGAACUGAGACACGGUCCAGACUCCUACGGGAGGCAGCAGUGGGGAAUCUUGCGCAAUGGGGGAAACCUUGACGCAGCAACGCCGCGUGGGUGAUGAAGGCCUUCGGGUCGUAAAGCCCUGUCAGGUGGGAAGAAACUUGUGGAUGUUAAUACCAUCCGCACUUGACGGUACCACCGGAGGAAGCACCGGCUAACUCCGUGCCAGCAGCCGCGGUAAUACGGAGGGUGCAAGCGUUGUUCGGAAUUAUUGGGCGUAAAGCGCGUGUAGGUGGUCAGGUAAGUCAGAUGUGAAAGCCUUCUGCUUAACAGAAGAAGUGCAUUUGAAACUGCUUGGCUAGAGUACGGGAGAGGAGAGUGGAAUUCCCGGUGUAGAGGUGAAAUUCGUAGAUAUCGGGAGGAACACCAGUGGCGAAGGCGGCUCUCUGGUCCGAUACUGACACUGAGAC